UACGUAGGCAGCGAGCGUUGUUCGGAGUUACUGGGCGUAAAGAGUGCGUAGGCGGUUUUCUAAGUUUGGUGUGAAAUCUCCCGGCUUAACUGGGAGGGUGCGCCGAAGACUGGAAGGCUUGAGUAUGGGAGAGGUAAGCGGAAUUCCUGGUGUAGCGGUGAAAUGCGUAGAUAUCGGGAGGAACACCAGUGGCGAAGGCGACUACCUGGCCUGUUCUUGACGCUGAGGCGCGAAAGCUGAGGGGAGCAACGGG
rnacentral:rRNA from 1 species